rnacentral:rRNA from 1 species
AAUCUACCUUUUAGUGGGGAAUAACGCUCCGAAAGGAGUGGUAAUACCGCAUGAGACCAGUGGCUGGGAUGCUGCUGGUGAAACCCUGGGACCUUCGGGCCAGGGGCUAGAAGAGGAUCCUGCGUCUGAUUAGCUAGUUGGUGAGGUAACGGCCCACCAAGGCAUCGAUCAGUAGCCGGCCUGAGAGGGUGAUCGGCCACACUGGAACUGAGACACGGUCCAG